ensembl:lncRNA
UGUGUGUGUGUGUGUGUGCUGGGGACUGAUGUUAAUAUUUAGCUUGCAGAAUUGGAAAUAUGGCUACCAAUGCAUUGAAUCAAGAGAGUGCAGGCAACACUUCCCCUACUGAAACUCCACUUAGAGGAUAAAUACAAUCCAGCGCUAGAAAAAGGAAUAAGCUGCACACUAUGAUAGUGUAGUGUAGUCAAUGUGCAUUUCUUCAAAGCACUCAUCACAGAAUGAUUGACCGCCGAGACAUUUUAACUUCAUUUUAGAGGCUCUUUCCAGCCCCCAAAGAGGAGCGACAGGCCACACGUGGCAAUCUCAGCCCCAAACACGUGGUGCAUAGUGAUGUGGCCACACACACACACACACACACACACACACACACACACACACACACACACACACACACACACACACACAAACUGAAGGCAUGUAAUCAAGAACACCUGCAGCCUUUACAGUUGACACUAAAAUUAUAAAUAUUAAAUGGUAAUCUUGAUAUGCUAAAUACGCAUCAUGCUAAUUAGCAGAAGCGGCAGUGACGCUCACUGGGUUGCUGCCUUAGUAUUCUCAUAAAUAGAUUCAUGAGUUGUCCACUCAAGGUCCGCCGAAAAAUCACUCAACGGGGAAAGUGGUGUGUGGGAAAAAGUAAUGAGAUCUGCCUUCUGGUGAUCAUUAAAGGGUAUACGUACUAGACAGUCAGUCGUCUUCAGAACCACUUAUCCUGAGAGGGUCGCAGGGUGGCUACGGAAUCGCAGCUAGCAUCGCGCCCGCGCGCGAGAGAGAGAGACGGGGAUUCACCCCGGACGGUUCGCCCAUCAACCGCAGGGCCGACACGGAGACACACAACCGUUCUCUCUCACAUUCACACACAGUAACCAACUUAUCCUCAAGGUCUUUGGACUGUGGGAGGAAGCAGGCGACCCACGCAGACACGGGGGUCUUUGGGGUGACACCACCAUUCAUGUAUUUAGAAUAAUUGAGUGAGAAAGUGGGUGUUUUUUCUUUAAACCCCCACUACCCUCCUCCACAGGCCCCGAUGCUGACUAACACUGUGUGAUGUGUUAGUGAAGGGGGCUUGUCGGAGGUCAGAUGCUGAAAUAGAACCAAACCACAUGGUGUAUGUUUGCACACGCGUGUCUUUGCGCACACGCACAGAGCUCCCAGCGCAGCUCAAUAAUGAGCGGCUGAUAAAUGACCACGGUGUUCAGAGAGCCAUCUUGUUACGACAGGGGAUUGACCCAGCCAGCACACGAUGCACCCUCACCUAUACCCACUCCUUCCCUCGCCAUGUCUUCUCCUCACCACACGUUUAAUCACCUGUGUUAAUCCUCCCUGCUUAUUCUUUUUUUUUCCAUGCUGCCAUUUUGACUUGUUAAAGUAAAAGCUCCGGUGUGAUUUAGCAAAUUCCCAUCCCAAUGUCACAGAAUGUCAGCGAGCCAGCAUGUGCAACAUCGGGACCCUGAAAGUGAAGCAGCUGGAUAUGCACCAGGGCUUUAAAUGUCUGUGAAAACCUCACAUUUGCCAAGAAAAAGCUAUUUCAAUGAAUGUGCGGUAUAUGAAGCGUGACGAUGUCCUGUGUCCUUCAAAUGACCCUACAGCAAUACUGAAAAGAUUCUCGAGGCAAAUACGGAAUUACAGGAUUUCACUGGGUUUCAACAGGCUGCUCCAGGAAUCUAUAUACAUUUACUCCCUGAGGAAACCUUUCCUAACCCCUGAAACUGCCUGAAAACACAAAAAGAAGAAACAUCCGGUUGGUUUGUGUGAUGACAAAGUCACAUAACCGUGCAGUCACAUCGUGGAAGUUCAGGUUCGGCCAGAUUGUUUUGUAUUUGUUUGUCUGUUGUGCGUGUUUAGCUCUUUGUGUGCGACACUACGCAGCUCAGCAAUCAGCUCCUGGAAAUCUAAACGGUGAGCCGCUGCAGCCCGCCGUGGCGUUCUGACUCGCCGGAUGAUAAGUGGCUUACCGCUUUCCCCUUAAAAUCCCACGAAAGCUCAGUCGCUGUCAUCAGCGCUCUGAACACGUGCUCCGAGGCUUCAGAUUCAAGACGGUUGUCCAAAAGCAAGAGACGGAUUACCAAGAAGAACACUCGGAGGGGAAGCAUCUUCAUCAGAUACAAUCAACAUGAGUCCUACUUUAGCCGCAAAGGCAACGAGGGCUGCGCAGUGGAUGCUUAAGCCUUAGAAACGCAAAAUGAUUGCAGCUUCAUCUCCGCAGCUCAAAUCCCUGUCUGCAAACGCAUGUGCAGUAACAUUCAGUGUCGGGAUUCAUGUAUGGAGAAUUUGCCUCUCCCUUGACAGUUCUCGUAGGUGGGAAACUAGGCACUUCUCGGAGAAAAUCAGUUUCAGUGUUAUUUCCUCAUAUGAAAUGGCUGCAGUCUGUGUACCUCCACAAAGCUGCAGACCCCCUCGACGGACACAGCACCAUUUCUUUUCCUUGAAUGAGGGACAACUUCUUGCAGGUUCAACUGCAGAAUGGAGUCUAAAGAAACGUCCAGUGAGAGACCAGUGAGCCCAUCAGCUGGAAACAAGACCAACUGGUAAACUACAGGGAGUUUUUUUAGCCUAAUUUUCUAACUGAAUGGCAAACAAAUAUUCCAAAACAAAUUCAGUGGCGGUAUUUGACACACGCUUGACGAAUAUGCAUUACAUUACUAAAAUUAGAAAAAAACAAACUUGUUCUCCUCUAACAUGUAACGGAUGAACCUAAACUGCACAGGAAUGUAAUAUUCCUUGAGCUGAAGCUAUCGCUUUAAUUGCAAGUGAACCUCUCAAUCAUCGCUACUGCGGUAAACUCAUUUUUGAUGUAGUGAAUGUGACUUUUUUUCUCUGCCUGUCUGAAGGAAAUUCCUGUUGAGUGUUGCCAGGACACAAUGAUUAAAGCAAGUGGUCUGGCUUUGCAAGGCCAAUAAAAUGUAUCUCAUGUCAUAAAAAGUAUUGGUAAGGAUGACUCCUUUAUGGAUGGAUUAUUGAUGGGAAGGUUAAAAAAAAAAAAAAAUUUACAGUCCGCCUCAUCACUUUUGACGUUUUUUCGGAUUUCAUUUUCCAGCAGGUCACAAAAUAAAAAACAACGACAUUUACAAGGACAUUCUGGCAAGAUGUUAGCAUCUUUGGGAGAACGGAUUGGAUAAGUUAUUUACAGACUGAUUCAAACUAUAAUUCAAAGAUACGUCCCUGAAAUAUUUAUAUCUAUAUUAAAAUACAAAUAUGUCUCGGCAAUAAAUCCACCUGCCGGUCGUUGAAAUCGGCAUAUGCAAAAUUAGAUUUCCUGUUUGGUGGCCUGAUGUAAAUGAUGCUUGUGCUUGUUGAACAUGAGGUAGGAGGUAAGAGAACGGGCUUCAUGUUCACUUUAGAUUCUUAAAGAUGGGGGCAAUCCAUCAUUCAUCCCGGUACAGAUUAAGGAAUAUAGAUUGUGUGUGAUGUUCCUUUUUUUUUACGAGGUAAUGAUGGAGAUAGACUACGGGAGGGAAAAGCAAAUCACACACACACGCACACCUGCGCUGAUCUAUAGUGUCACAGGCAAGUGAACAAAAGGAAAUUGAAGUUUGCCCCGGGAGCCCAGAUCGGAGGGGAUGCAAUUAUAAAAGGGGAUUAAUUCAAUGCAACACAUCAAGUUACGAAAAAAUAAAUGCCUACUACGCACAUUUACAUGGACUUCAAAGCCCACCACAGGAUGUAUGAGGAACCUGGUGGGUUGAGAGAGAAUAUAACUAUAUAGCAUACGUUCAAUCCCAUAGUCAUUGAGCAGGUAGAGGACGGUUUACUCGAUUAAACUCAAACCCCCGUCUGUGAAACAUGCUUUCAUAGAAGAGCACAUUCAAAUAUGAAACAGGAGUGUUAAGUUAGUGCACGUGAUGCUGAAUUCUCUGUCUUCCCACAUUAGACUCCAUGAACAGGUUCAAAUAAAUGUGCACAAAUUACACAGUAAUUGCUUUUUUGCUGGAUAACCUGAAACUGGAGCAAAGGGCUGUAAGACAAAUAACCUGGAGUUAA